rnacentral:rRNA from 1 species
UGGGGAAUCUUGCGCAAUGGGGGAAACCUUGACGCAGCAACGCCGCGUGGGUGAUGAAGGCCUUCGGGUCGUAAAGUCCUGUCAGGUGGGAAGAAACGUAUCGGUGCUAAUACCACCGAUAUUUGACGGUACUACCGGAGGAAGCACCGGCUAACUCCGUGCCAGCAGCCGCGGUAAUACGGAGGGUGCAAGCGUUGUUCGGAAUUACUGGGCGUAAAGCGCGUGUAGGCGGUUGGGCAAGUCAGAUGUGAAAGCCUUCCGCUCAACGGAAGAAGUGCAUUUGAAACUACCCGGCUGGAGUACGGGAGAGGAGAGUGGAAUUCCCGGUGUAGAGGUGAAAUUCGUAGAUAUCGGGAGGAACACCAGUGGCGAAGGCGGCUCUCUGGUCCGAUACUGACGCUGAUACGCGAAAGCGUGGGGAGCAAACAGGAUUAGAUACCCUGGUAGUCCACGCCGUAAACGAUGGGCACUAGGUGUAGGAGGUAUUGACCCCUUCUGUGCCGAAGUUAACGCAUUAAGUGCCCCGCCUGGGGAGUACGGCCGCAAGGUUA